rnacentral:rRNA from 1 species
GACGAACGCUGGCGGCGUGCCUAACACAUGCAAGUCGAACGGAACUGUUUUGAAAGAUUUCUUCGGAAUGAAUUUGAUUUAGUUUAGUGGCGGGCGGGUGAGUAACGCGUGAGUAACCUGCCUUCAAGAGGGGAAUAACAUUCUGAAAAGAAUGCUAAUACCGCAUGACAUAUCGGAACCACAUGGUUUUGAUAUCAAAGAUUUUAUCGCUUGAAGAUGGACUCGCGUCCGAUUAGUUAGUUGGUGAGGUAACGGCUCACCAAGACCGCGAUCGGUAGCCGGACUGAGAGGUUGAACGGCCACAUUGGGACUGAGACACGGCCCAGACUCCUACGGGAGGCAGCAGUGGGGGAUAUUGCGCAAUGGGGGCAACCCUGACGCAGCAACGCCGCGUGAAGGAUGAAGGUUUUCGGAUUGUAAACUUCUUUUAUUAAGGACGAAAAAUGACGGUACUUAAUGAAUAAGCUCCGGCUAACUACGUG